rnacentral:tmRNA from 1 species
GGGGGCGUAAUGGUUUCGACUUCGAGUGUGAAACCCGGCCCGCAUGCCGAGGAUGAUUCGUUGGCCUCGUAAAAAAUCGGAUCACACAAACAAACGCAGAUUACGAAGAUCUCGCUCUCGCGGCCUAAUUGAGCCGUGACGCGUUCCGGCGGACGCCUGCUAAGCCGGAACGCGACGACAGCAGGCUGGUCCGGGAUGGGGCGACCGCUACCCCGGGUGAAUCGAUUCCGUGGACGCUUUGGCAGGGGAUGCGUGGCGGUUCGCCAGCCCCGGCCGAGACCAAAGACCGCCUAAGCAUGUAGAAGGUUGUGCGGAUCGUUUGAAGGACAGGGGUUCGACUCCCCUCGCCUCCAGUU